rnacentral:lncRNA from 1 species
GCUGAUGUUGUGUGUUAUGUGUGUGUUUGUGUGUUAUGUGUGUAUAUGUAUGUUAGGGAUAGGGUUUUAAAUUGGGCUUAAGCCCUCUAAUAUGAAUGGGCCGAUUUUUAUUUAAUAAAAUGUACUGGGCCCAUUUUAUUUUAAAAGCUGAUGGGUAUUUUUUUUAUUUAAUUGAUUGGGCCCAAUUUUAAUUAAUUUUGGACUGUUAAUUGAAUAAUAAAGCCUACGAAAUUUU